UUUAACUGAGCGUUCAGUUACUUGACGUAGACCCGAAACCGGGCGACCUACCCAUGAGCAGGAUGAAGCGAAAGUAAAAUUUCGUGGAGGUCCGAACCCACGAGCGUUGAAAAGCUCGGGGAUGACUUGUGGGUAGCGGUGAAAUUCCAAUCGAGCCCGGAGAUAGCUGGUUCUCCCCGAAAUAGCUUUAGGGCUAGCCUCAAGGUGAGAGAUACGGAGGUAGAGCACUGAAUGUCCUAGGGGGUAUUGCACCUACCGAAGACUAUCAAACUCCGAAUGCCGUCAUCUUAUACUUGGGAGUCAGACUGUGGGUGAUAAGAUUCAUAGUCGAAAGGGCAACAGCCCAGAUCGUCAGCUAAGGUCCCUAAAUGUAAGUUAAGUGGUAAAGGAUGUGGGAUUGCACAGACAACCAGGAUGUUGGCUUAGAAGCAGCCACUCAUUCAAAGAGUGCGUAAUAGCUCACUGGUCGAGUGAUCCUGCGCCGAAGAUGUCCGGGGCUAAAACUUACUACCGAAGCUACGGCAUCAGUAAUGAUGGGUAGGGGAGCUUCACAUACGGGUUGAAGCAUGACCGUAAGGACAUGUGGACAGUAUGGGAGUGAGAAUGUUGGCAUGAGU
rnacentral:rRNA from 1 species